UCAGCACUAAGCCAUUUUGCCUUUAUAGUAAAUAUGGGAUGCAGUGUAUGGAACAUCAAUAAUCUAGUAUGAGAAAUUAACGAUUUAAGUCCUUCUUAAAUGAGGCCAUUUACCCAUAGAGGGUGCCAGGCCCGUAUAACGUUAAUGAUUAUUAGAAGAUGUUUCCAAAGAGUCGUGUUGCUUGAUAGUGCAGCACUAAGUUGGUGGUAAACUCCAUCUAAAACUAAAUAUAACCAUGAGACCGAUAGUAAACAAGUACCGUGAGGGAAAGUUGAAAAGAACUCUGAAUAGAGAGUUAAAUAGUACGUGAAACUGCUUAGAGGUUAAACCCGAUGAACCUGAAUAUCCAUUAUGGAAAAUUCAAUGCUAAUAAAAUAGUAUGCAAUUUUUCCAUAUAAGGACAUUGUAAUCUGUUAAUGUAAUAAAUAUUUAUCAAAAGAUUCAUUACUUAAGUUUAUUCAAAUUCAACAUAAAAUAAAUGUAUUGAAUUGGAUAAAUCGUUGACAGAUAUAAUUAUAUAUGGUGCUCAAAUUUUACGGAAUUUUACAAUGUUGUUUGCGCUAUUAUGAUUAACAAUGCGAUAGAUUCAGGAUACCUUCGGGACCCGUCUUGAAACACGGACCAAGGAGUCUAACAUAUGUGCAAGUCAUUGGGUAUUUAUAAUAAAACCCAAUGGCAUAAUUAACUUAACUUAUGGGAUUAAUUUAUAUUUAUUCAAUCCCGGGGCGUUCUAUAUAGUUAUGUAUAAUAGUAUUUAUAUUAUUUAUACCUCUAACUGGAGCGUACCUUGAGCAUAUAUGCUGUGACCCGAAAGAUGGUGAACUAUACUUGAUCAGGUUGAAGUCAGGGGAAACCCUGAUGGAAGACCGAAACAGUUCUGACGUGCAAAUCGAUUGUCAGAAUUGAGUAUAGGGGCGAAAGACUAAUCGAACCAU
rnacentral:rRNA from 1 species